AUAAAUUUUAGUGUUAAUUAUGAUUUAUUUUAAUAAUAAAUUUAUUUAUAAUUCAGUAGUAAUUAAUAUUAAAAAUAUAAGAAAUUAAGAUUUAGUAAUAUUUAAAUUAAUAACAAAUUUUGUGCCAGCAGUUGCGGUUAAACAAUGAUUAAAUUAAAUUUUUUUAGUAAUUAAUAAGUAUUUAAAAUAAUAAUUUAAAUUUUAAAUUAUUAAGUGAAAUUUUAAUUUAAUAAAAUUUUAUAAUAAUUUUAUGAUUUAAUAAAUUUUAUAAAAAACUAGGAUUAGAUACCCUAUUAUAAAAAUUUAAAUUAAUAAUACUAAAAUAGUAAAUAAUUAUUUAUUGAAACUUAAAUAAUUUGGCGGUAUUUUAGUUCAUUUAGAGGAAUCUGUUUAUUAAUUGAUAAUCCACGAAUAAAUUUACUUAAUUUAUAAUUUUGUAUAUCGUUGUUAAAAAAAUAUUUUAUAAUAAUAAUAAUAUUUUAAAAUUAUGAUUAAAAAUUAAAUCAGAUCAAGAUGCAGAAUAUAAUUAAGAAUAUAAUGGAUUACAAUAAAUUUAUUUAUAUGGAUAUUAAUUUGUAAUAAUUAAUUAAAAGUGGAUUUAAAUGUAAUUUUAUUUAAUUUAAUAAAAUGAUUAAUAAUUAAAAUAUGUACAUAUUGCCCGUCGCUUUCAUAUAUUAUAAAAUUGGAAUAAGUCGUAACAAAGUAGAGGUACUGGAAAGUGUUUCUAGAAAGAA
rnacentral:ncRNA from 1 species